GACAAACGCUGGCGGCGUGCGUUAAACAUGCAAGUCGAACGGGCUUUCUCUUUCGGGGGGAAGUUAGUGGCGGACGGCUGAGUAGCACGUGAGUGACCUGUCCUUUGGUGGGGGAUAGCGGCCGGAAACGGCCGGUAAUACCGCAUGCGCUCUUCCGCGUGGGUGUGGGAGAGGAAAGCCGUAAGGCGCUGAAGGAGGGGCUCGCGGCCCAUCAGGUAGUUGGGUAGGUAAGAGCUGCCCAAGCCGAUGACGGGUGGCCGGUCUGAGAGGAUGGUCGGCCAGACUGGGACUGGGACACGGCCCAGACACCUACGGGUGGCAGCAGUUAGGGAUCUUGCGCAAUGGCCGAAAGGCUGACGCAGCGACGCCGCGUGAGGGAGGACGGCCCUCGGGUUGUAAACCUCUUUUCUCCGAGACGAGGAUGGACGGUAUCGGAGGAAUAAGCACCGGCUAACCCCGUGC
rnacentral:rRNA from 1 species